UUAGAGGAAGAGGAGCCGGUAUCAGGCUCAAAAUGCCCAUGACACCUAGCCCAGCCACACCCCCAAGGGUACUCAGCAGUGAUUAACAUUGUAAACUAGCGAAAGCUAAAUACAGUUACCAGCUAAAAAAACCGGUCAAUCUCGUGCCAGCCACCGCGGAUAUACGGGUAGGUUAAAAUUGAUAACGUCGGCUCAAAGCGUGGUUAGAUUCUCACCUCAAUAAAGCAAAAAAAAAGCUUGGCUGUGACAUGCUUUCGCUUUUAAUAACCCCAAUCACGAAAGUAGCUUUAACCCUAAUUGAAUCCACGAUCGCUAGGGCACAAACUGGGAUUAGGUACCCCACUAUGCCUAGCCCUAAACUUUGAUUAUCCGCCUGGGAACUACGAGCGUCAGCUUAAAACCCAAAAGACUUGGCGGUGCCCUAUACCACCUAGAGGAGCCUGUUCUAUAAUCGAUAAUCCCCGAUUCACCUCACCAUCUCUUGCCAAUACCGCCUGUAUACCUCCGUCACCAACUGACCCCAUAAGGGCUAAGUCGGUUAAAUGGCUUCCCUCCAAUAAGUCAGGUCAAGGUGCAGCGAAUGAGAUGGGAAGAAAUGGGCUACAUUUUCUACUAAUAGACUAUACGAAAGAUCACUAUGAAAUCUGAUUGGAAGGUGGAUUUAGCAGUAAAAAGAGACUAGAGUGCUCUUUUUAAGUUGGCUCUAGGGUGCGUACACACCGCCCGUC
rnacentral:rRNA from 1 species